AACGAACGCUGGCGGCAUGCCUAACACAUGCAAGUCGAACGAGACCUUCGGGUCUAGUGGCGCACGGGUGCGUAACGCGUGGGAACCUGCCCUUAGGUUCGGAAUAACUCCCCGAAAGGGGUGCUAAUACCGGAUAAUGUCUUCGGACCAAAGAUUUAUCGCCUUUGGAUGGGCCCGCGUUGGAUUAGCUAGUUGGUAGGGUAAAAGCCUACCAAGGCGACGAUCCAUAGCUGGUCUGAGAGGAUGAUCAGCCACACUGGGACUGGGACACGGCCCAGACUCCUACGGGAGGGAGCAGUGGGGAAUAUUGGACAAUGGGCGAAAGCCUGAUCCAGCAAUGCCGGGUGAGUGAUGAAGGCCUUAGGGUUGUAAAGCUCUUUUACCCGGGAUGAGAAUGACAGUACCGGGAGAAUAAGCUCCGGCUAACUCCGUG
rnacentral:rRNA from 1 species